rnacentral:rRNA from 1 species
UACGGAGGGUGCAAGCGUUAAUCGGAAUUACUGGGCGUAAAGCGCACGCAGGUGGCUGAGUAAGUCGAUUGUGAAAGCCCUGGGCUUAACCUGGGAAUUGCAGUCGAUACUGCUCGGCUAGAGUAUGGGAGAGGGUAGUGGAAUUCCCGGUGUAGCGGUGAAAUGCGUAGAUAUCAGGAGGAACACCGAUGGCGAAGGCAGAUCUCUGGGCCGUAACUGACGCUGAGGAGCGAAAGCAUGGGGAGCGAACAGG